CGUAGCUAGCAUUAAGCGCCCCGCCUGGGGAGUACGGCCGCAAGGCUAAAACUCAAAGGAAUUGACGGGGGCCCGCACAAGCGGCGGAGCAUGUGGAUUAAUUGAUGCAACGCGAAGAACCUUACCUGGGUUUGACAUAUACCGGAAACACCUAGAGAUAGGUGCCCCCUUGUGGUCGGUAUACAGGGGGCAUGGCUGUCGUCAGCUCGUGUCUGAGAUGUUGGGUUAAGUCCCGCAACGAGCGCAACCCUUGUCCUGUGUUGCCAGCGCGUAAUGGCGGGGACUCGCAGGAGACUGCCGGGGUCAACUCGGAGGAAGGUGGGGAUGACGUCAAGUCAUCAUGCCCCUUAUGUCCAGGGCUUCACACAUGCUACAAUGGCCGGUACAGAGGGCUUGCGAUACCGUGAGGUGGAGGAAUCCC
rnacentral:rRNA from 1 species